rnacentral:rRNA from 1 species
UACGAGCCUCACAAACGUUAUUCGGAAUCACUGGGCUUAAAGGGUGCGUAGGCGGUGUGGAUAGUCGGAUGUGAAAUACCUCAGCUUAACUGAGGAACUGCACUCGAUACUUCCAUGCUAGAGUAAGACAGAGGUGAGUGGAACUGAGGGUGGAGCGGUGAAAUGCGUUGAUAUCCUCAGGAACACCGGUGGCGAAGGCGGGUCUCUGGGCCGAAACUGACGCUGAGGAGCGAAAGCGUGGGGAGCGAACAGG